UGCCAGCCGCCGCGGUAAUACGGAGGGUGCAAGCGUUAAUCGGAAUUACUGGGCGUAAAGCGCGCGUAGGCGGUUAUUUAAGUCAGAUGUGAAAGCCCAGGGCUCAACCUUGGAACUGCAUUUGAAACUGGAUAACUUGAGUAUGGUAGAGGUAAGCGGAAUUUCCGGUGUAGCGGUGAAAUGCGUAGAUAUUAGAAAGAACACCAGUGGCGAAAGCGCUCUACUGGACCAUUACUGACACUCAGAGGCGAAAGCUAGGGUAGCAAAAGGGAUUAGAUA
rnacentral:rRNA from 1 species